UUAAAUUGAAGAGUUUGAUCAUGGCUCAGAUUGAACGCUGGCGGCAGGCCUAACACAUGCAAGUCGAACGGUAACAGGAAACAGCUUGCUGCUUUGCUGACGAGUGGCGGACGGGUGAGUAAUGUCUGGGAAACUGCCUGAUGGAGGGGGAUAACUACUGGAA
rnacentral:rRNA from 1 species